GGCCUGAUGGCUCAGGGGUUAAGAGCACUAGGCAUGUAAUCCAAACAUAGUGCUUGCUGGUUCAAAUCCAGCUCAGAUAC